rnacentral:rRNA from 1 species
GUGCACGCCUUUGGUCGCAAAUCCACACACACCUGUGCAUCUAUGACUCGAGGUUGUAAUGACUGAGAGUAACUUUUAUACACUCUUGUAUGUAAUGGAAUGUCUUUUUGUGCUAUAAUGUACAAUAUAAACAACUUUCAACAACGGAUCUCUUGGCUCUCGCAUCGAUGAAGAACGCAGCGAAAUGCGAUAAGUAAUGUGAAUUGCAGAAUUCAGUGAAUCAUCGAAUCUUUGAACGCACCUUGCACCCUUUGGUAUUCCGAAGGGUAYGCCCGUUUGAGUGUCAUUGUAAUCUCACUUCUACAACUUUAUUGUUGUUUGAAUGUGGACUUGGAUGUUGCCGUUUUAUCACGGCUCGUCUUAAAUGCCUGAGUGUACCCUGUUUUGCAGCGUAUCCAGUGUAAUAAACAUUUCACUAGAGUUGGUCGAAAGACCGCGUUGACUAUAUGGGCUCUAUGCUUCAAACCGUCUGCCAUGUGGACAAUUUCUUGACAAUUUGACCUCAAAUCGGGUGGGACUACCCGCUGAACUUAAGCAUAUCAAUAAGCGGAGGAAAAGAAACUAACAAGGAUUCCCCUAGUAACGGCGAGUGAAGAGGGAAAAGCUCAAAUUUUAAAUCUGGUGUCUUUGACUCCCGAGUUGUAAUCUAGAGAAGUGUUUUCCGUGUCGGACCGUGUACAAGUUCCCUGGAACGGGGCGUCAUAGAGGGUGAGAAUCCCGUAUAUGCCACGGACUACCGAUGCUCUGUGAUACACUCUCAACGAGUCGAGUUGUUUGGGAAUGCAGCUCAAAAUGGGUGGUAAAUUCCAUCUAAAGCUAAAUAUUGGCGAGAGACCGAUAGCGAACAAGUACCGUGAGGGAAAGAUGAAAAGCACUUUGGAAAGAGAGUGAAACAGUACGUGAAAUUGUUGAAAGGGAAGCGUUUGAAGUCAGUCGCAUCUGUUGGGGUUCAGCCUGGCUUUUGCCUGGUGUAUUUCCUUUCCGAUGGGUCAGCAUCAGUUUCGACCGAGGGAAAAAGACAUUUGGAAUGUGGCUGUCUUCGGGCAGUGUUAUAGCCUUGUGUUGUAUGUCUCGGUUGGGACUGAGGAUUGCAGCGCGCC